GUAAGCUACUAAGAGCAAAUGGUGGAUGCCUUGGCUAGUAGAGGCGAUGAAAGACGUGCCAGGCUGCGAUAAGUCUCGGGGAGCCGUCAAGGGGCUUUGAUCCGGGAAUUUCUGAAUGGGGCAACCCAGUUAAUAGUGAUAUUAACUACUGUAUUUACAGAGCUAACGUGGGGAAUUGAAACAUCUUAGUACCCACAGGAAGAGAAAUCAAAAGAGAUUACGCUAGUAGCGGCGAGCGAACGCGUAAGAGGGCAAACCGUUAGUUUACUAACGGGGUUGUAGGACUGCAACAUAGACUUAAACAAACUAAUAGAAUAACCUGGAAAGGUUAGCCAUAGUGGGUGAUAGCCCCGUAUAUGAAAGUGCGUUUAUACUUAGCAGUAUCCUGAGUAGGGCGGGACACGUGAAAUCCUGUCUGAAGCUGGGGAGACCACUCUCCAACCCUAAAUACUACUACUAGACCGAUAGUGCACAAGUACCGUGAGGGAAAGGUGAAAAGAACUGAGGUGAUCAGAGUGAAAUAGAACCUGAAACCAUUUGCUUACAAUCAUUCAGAGCACGAUUCUUUAUGACGUGUGAUGGACUGCCUUUUGCAUAAUGAGCCUGCGAGUUGUGGUGUCUGGCGAGGUUAAGGAAACCCGGAGCCGUAGCGAAAGCGAGUCUUAAUAGGGCGUAUAGUCAGAUGCUGCAGACCCGAAACGAUGUGAUCUAUCCAUGAGCAGGUUGAAACUGGUGUAAGAGCCAGUGGAGGACCGAACAGACGGCCGUUGAAAAGGCUCCUGAUGACUUGUGGAUAGGGGUGAAAGGCCAAUCAAACAUCGUGAUAGCUGGUUCUCUCCGAAAUAUAUUUAGGUAUAGCGUUGUGUAGUAACUUUGUGAGGUAGAGCACUGAAUGGGCUAGGGCAUACACCAAUGUACCAAACCCUAUCAAACUCCGAAUGCGCAAAGCGUAAUCACAGCAGUCAGGCGGCGAGUGAUAAAAUCCGUCGUCAAGAGGGGAACAACCCAGACUAACAGCUAAGGUCCCUAAAUCUCAUUUAAGUGGAAAACGAUGUGGAGUUACUUAAACAACCAGGAGGUUGGCUUAGAAGCAGCCAUCCUUUAAAGAAAGCGUAAUAGCUCACUGGUCUAGUGAUUCUGCGCGGAAAAUAUAACGGGGCUAAAAUGAGUACCGAAGCUUUAGACUUGUGCUUAAUUUAGAUCUUAAACCGGUUCAAUAAACUCAAAUUUAAGUUAUAUUAAAACUAGCAAUAGCGUUUUUGCGAAGCAAAAAGUUUUAAAAUAUCUUUAGUUAAAAUGAGGUAGUUAAGAUUUAAAUUAAGCACAAGUGGUAGGAGAGCGUUCUAUUCAGCGUUGAAGGUAUACCGGUAAGGAGUGCUGGAGCGGAUAGAAGUGAGCAUGCAGGCAUGAGUAGCGAUAAUCUAGGUGAGAAUCCUAGACGCCGAAAACCCAAGGUUUCCUACGCGAUGCUCGUCAUCGUAGGGUUAGUCGGGUCCUAAGCAAAGUCCGAAAGGGGUAUGCGAUGGAAAAUUGGUUAAUAUUCCAAUACCAAUUAUUAUGUGCGAUGGAAGGACGCUUAAAGUUAGUGGAGCUAGCGGAUGGAAGUGCUAGUCUAAGGGCGUAGGUUGAGUUAUAGGCAAAUCCGUAACUCUCUAUCCGAGACCUCAAAGGCUCACGACGCUCUUCGGAGUUGAAUGAGAAUCCAUGAUACUAUCGAGCCAAGAAAAGUUUCUAAGUUUAGUAAUAAUUGCCCGUACCGUAAACCGACACAGGUGGGUGGGAUGAGUAUUCUAAGGCGCGUGGAAGAACUCUCUUUAAGGAACUCUGCAAAAUAGCACCGUAUCUUCGGUAUAAGGUGUGCCUAACUUUGUUAGUAGAUUUACUCUACAAAGCAAAGAAGGUUACAACAAAGAGUCCCUCCCGACUGUUUACCAUAAACACAGCACUCUGCUAACACGUAAGUGGAUGUAUAGGGUGUGACGCCUGCCCGGUGCUCGAAGGUUAAUUGAUGAUGUUAGCUCUGCGAAGCAUUUGAUCGAAGCCCGAGUAAACGGCGGCCGUAACUAUAACGGUCCUAAGGUAGCGAAAUUCCUUGUCGGUUAAAUACCGACCUGCAUGAAUGGCGUAACGAGAUGGGAGCUGUCUCAAAGAGAGAUCCAGUGAAAUUGUAGUGGAGGUGAAAAUUCCUCCUACCCGCGGCAAGACGGAAAGACCCCGUGGACCUUUACUACAGCUUGACACUGCUACUUGGAUAAAGAUGCGCAGGAUAGGUGGGAGGCUUUGAUCUAUAGACCCUGGUUUAUAGUGAGCCAUUGUUGAGAUACCACUCUUCUUUAUUCGGGUAGCUAACUAGCCUAAGUUAUCCUUAGGUAGGACAAUGUCUGGUGGGUAGUUUGACUGGGGCGGUCGCCUCCCAAAAUGUAACGGAGGCUUACAAAGGUUGGCUCAGAACGGUUGGAAAUCGUUCGUAGAGUAUAAAGGCAUAAGCCAGCUUAACUGCAAGACAUACACGUCAAGCAGAGACGAAAGUCGGUCUUAGUGAUCCGGUGGUUCUGCGUGGAAGGGCCAUCGCUCAAAGGAUAAAAGGUACCCCGGGGAUAACAGGCUGAUCUCCCCCAAGAGCUCACAUCGACGGGGAGGUUUGGCACCUCGAUGUCGGCUCAUCGCAUCCUGGGGCUGGAGCAGGUCCCAAGGGUAUGGCUGUUCGCCAUUUAAAGCGGUACGCGAGCUGGGUUCAGAACGUCGUGAGACAGUUCGGUCCCUAUCUGCCGUGGGCGUAAGAAGAUUGAGGAGAGUUGACCCUAGUACGAGAGGACCGGGUCGAACUGGCCACUGGUGUACCAGUUGUUCUGCCAAGAGCAUCGCUGGGUAGCUAAGCCGGGAUGUGAUAAGAGCUGAAAGCAUCUAAGCUCGAAGCCAACUCCAAGAUGAAUCUUCUUUUAAGAGCUCUAGUAGACUACUAGUUUGAUAGGCUGGGUGUGUAAGUGGUGAAAGCCAUUUAGCUGACCAGUACUAAUAGCUCGUUUGCUUAUCUUU
rnacentral:rRNA from 1 species